rnacentral:rRNA from 1 species
AGUGAACGCUGGCGGUAGGCCUAACACAUGCAAGUCGAACGGCAGCACAGUAAGAGCUUGCCCUUACGGGUGGCGAGUGGCGGCCGGGUGAGGAAUACAUCGGAAUCUACUUUUUCGUGGGGGAUAACGUAGGGAAACUUACGCUAAUACCGCAUACGACCUACGGGUGAAAGCAGGGGUUCUUCGGACUUUGCGCGAUUGAAUGAGCCGAUGUCGGAUUAGCUAGUUGGCGGGGUAAAGGCCAACCAAGGCGACGAUCCUUAGGUGGUCUGAGAGGAUGGUCAGCCACACUGGAACUGAGACACGGUCCGGACUCCUACGGGAGGCAGCAGUGGGGAAUAUUGGCCAAUGGGCGCAAGCCUGAUCCAGCCAUACCGCGUGGGUGAAGAAGGCCUUCGGUUUGUAAAGCCCUUUUGUUGGGAAAGAAAAGCAGCAGGUUAAUACCCCGCUGUUCUGACGGAACCCAAAGAAUAAGCACCGGCUAACUUCGU